GACGAACGCUGGCGGCGUGCCUAAUACAUGCAAGUCGAGCGAAGUUUUUCUGGUGCUUGCACUAGAAAAACUUAGCGGCGAACGGGUGAGUAACACGUAAAGAACCUGCCUCAUAGACGGGGACAACUAUUGGAAACGAUAGCUAAUACCGGAUAACAGCAUAAAUCGCAUGAUAUAUGUUUAAAAGUUGGUUUCGGCUAACACUAUGAGAUGGCUUUGCGGUGCAUUAGCUAGUUGGUGGGGUAAAGGCCUACCAAGGCGACGAUGCAUAGCCGACCUGAGAGGGUGAUCGGCCACACUGGGACUGAGACACGGCCCAGACUCCUACGGGAGGCAGCAGUAGGGAAUCUUCCGCAAUGGGCGAAAGCCUGACGGAGCAACGCCGCGUGAGUGAAGAAGGAUUUCGGUUCGUAAAGCUCUGUUGUUAGGGAAGAAUGAUUGUAUAGUAACUAUAUACAGUAGAGACGGUACCUAACCAGAAAGCCACGGCUAACUACGUGCCAGCAGCCGCGGUAAUACGUAGGUGGCAAGCGUUGUCCGGAAUUAUUGGGCGUAAAGCGCGCGCAGGUGGUUUAAUAAGUCUGAUGUGAAAGCCCACGGCUCAACCGUGGAGGGUCAUUGGAAACUGUUAAACUUGAGUGCAGGAGAGAAAAGUGGAAUUCCUAGUGUAGCGGUGAAAUGCGUAGAGAUUAGGAGGAACACCAGUGGCGAAGGCGGCUUUUUGGCCUGUAACUGACACUGAGGCGCGAAAGCGUGGGGAGCAAACAGG
rnacentral:rRNA from 1 species